GAGUCGUGUUUCCAGGGUCUGCACUGUUGUCCCUGGUGUCAGAACCCAAGAGAGUCAAAUCGCUUCCAGCCGGAACGUACAGCGCAGAGAAAUAUGUAAAUCAGGGCUCUCAGCGCCCUGGAGAGUGUCGCAAUUACUCCCCUUGAACAAGAAGCAACAAGCUCCCCGCCGGUGAGCUACAGAGGGUGGCUACGUCGCGGGGGAGGGAGCGGCUGCAGGAAAGGUGGGGGUGGGAACCUCACACUCUCACACCUUGUCCCCAGUGCCGAGGCCGGGGCUUCCCCCACCGCUCUCCGCUGCUCUCCCUUCCCCCUUCCUCCCCCUCCUUCUCCCUCCCUCCUCCUCCCCUCCAGCCUAGGUCCGGGUACUUAAAGCAGCGCGGGCGGGCUAAGGCGGGCGGGCGGCCCAGUCCGGUGGCGGCAGAUGCGCCCAGCGGUGGCAGCCGCCGGCGGCGCGCAGGUGACCGGCCUGCAGCGCAGCCUGGUCAGGGAGUGCCCCGGGAGAGCUGGCAGGAGCUGGAGGCCGAUCCGCCCCCGGCGCGCGCGCGUCUCGGCGCCAGGAGCCGUCCCGGGGCGUGUUGGCGAGCGCUGAUAUAGAUAUAAGGACAUUUCUCUCCAUGGCGUCACGUGACAUAAUUACCACCAGAAUCAAUCAAGAUGAAUUGCACGUCAGCGCCCGGUGGGGAUUUUUGCUUAGUUGAUCCUGGCCCAAGCCUCUUGUGCAAUCGAUGGCUCAGGUUGGAGGCGCGGGGAGCGGCCCGAGGCUUGCCGGCGUGCACGCCGCGCAGCCAUGAACGACUUUGACGAGUGCGGCCCGAGCGCAGCCAGCAUGUACCUGCCGGGCUGCGCCUACUACGUGGCCCCGUCGGACUUCGCCAGCAAGCCGUCGUUCCUCUCGCAGCCGUCCUCCUGCCAGAUGACUUUCCCCUACUCGUCCAACCUGGCGCCGCACGUCCAGCCGGUGCGGGAGGUGGCCUUUCGCGACUACGGCCUGGAGCGCGCCAAGUGGCAGUACCGCGGCGGCGGCGGGGGCGGCGCGGGGGGCGGCGGCGGGGGCGGCCCCGGCGGGGGCGGCGGCGGCUCUGGGGGCUACGCUCCCUACUACGCCGCGGCGGCGGCGGCGGCGGCCGCGGCAGCAGCGGCCGAGGAAGCGGCCAUGCAGCGGGAUCUGCUCCCGCCCGGAGGCCGGCGGCCAGACGUGCUCUUCAAGGCUCCCGAACCGGUGUGUGGCGCUCCUGGGCCGCCUCACGGUCCCGCGGCUGCCGCCUCCAACUUCUACAGCGCGGUGGGUCGCAACGGCAUCCUGCCCCAGGGCUUUGAUCAGUUCUACGAGGCGGCUCCAGGACCCCCCUUUGCUAGCCCGCAGCCCCAGCCUGCGCCCGCGCCGCCGCAGCCCGAGGGCUCCGCUGACAAGGGCGACCCCAAGGCCGGGGCUGGUGGCGGCGGGGGUAGUCCCUGCGCCAAGGCAACUCCCGGCCCGGAGCCCAAAGGGGCGGCAGAAGGCGGCGGUGGCGAAGUCGAGGGUCCCCCGGGGGAGGCGGGGGCCGAGAAGAGCGGCAGCACAGUGGCCCCCCAGAGGUCCCGGAAAAAGCGCUGUCCCUACACCAAGUACCAGAUCCGGGAACUGGAACGCGAGUUUUUCUUUAAUGUAUACAUAAACAAAGAGAAAAGACUCCAACUCUCUCGGAUGCUCAACCUCACUGACCGGCAAGUCAAAAUCUGGUUCCAGAAUCGCAGGAUGAAAGAAAAGAAACUGAACAGAGACCGUCUGCAGUAUUUCACUGGAAACCCCUUAUUUUGAGAGCUCCAGGAAGCGCCCCCUCCCCAGAGCCCCACUCACCCACCCUUCUCCCCAACAGCCUGCCCUCCGCAGGCCCAAUGUCCUUGGGUUCAAUGACGCCUCUUCUCUGUGGAACUUCACGAUUCCUUCUCGCGGUCAACUCGCGACCUCCCAGCGACCACUGCAGCCUGAGGACGAGGCCGGGGACUUGGCCGAGCGGAUCCUAAUAAGGGGAAAAUGAUUGGAAAAUUCAAGCCAGCUUCUGCGGAAUCCGCACCACUGAGCCCAGAUCCAUCUAGUCCUGCCAGGGAAAGGGGAAGAGGUUCUUAUGGGAAGAGGUGACCGAGUUCGUUGCCCCAGGUCCGGCCUAUGGUUUUCAACCCAUCUUCAAAGACCCAUCAUAAAACAGGGCCAUUCCAGAAGGCCGGAAAAUGAUAAGGCGCCAUGUGGGAUUCCAAUGUUCACCGCCCAUCCGAGGGCAGAGAGAAGCCCCUCGGAAGCCAUCCCUGCAGAGGCUGCACUGAGCUAGCUGGUCCAGGCCCGGGAGUCCGGUUGCCCCAGCUCACCCCUUGGGCCUCGAACAUGUGCCUAACCUCACUUCGAGGGUGUAUGCGUGGCUGCCUGGGGAGUGUGUGAGUGUGGUAGAGGGAGGGGCCCUUCGAGCUGCUCCAUCCGUCCGUUUUAUUAGGGACACAUUAAUCUAUAAUCAAAUACACCUCAUAAAAUUUUUAUUGAAA